rnacentral:rRNA from 1 species
UAGGGAAUCUUCCGCAAUGGACGAAAGUCUGACGGAGCAACGCCGCGUGAGUGAAGAAGGAUUUCGGUUCGUAAAACUCUGUUGUUAGGGAAGAAAAAAUGUAUAGUAACUAUAUACAAAAGAGACGGUACCUAACCAGAAAGCCACGGCUAACUACGUGCCAGCAGCCGCGGUAAUACGUAGGUGGCAAGCGUUGUCCGGAAUUAUUGGGCGUAAAGCGCGCGCAGGUGGUUUAGAAAGUCUGAUGUGAAAGCCCACGGCUCAACCGUGGAGGGUCAUUGGAAACUAAUAAACUUGAGUGCAGGAGAGAAAAGUGGAAUUCCUAGUGUAGCGGUGAAAUGCGUAGAGAUUAGGAGGAACACCGGUGGCGAAAGCGACUUUCUGGACGAACACUGACGCUGAGGCGCGAAAGCCAGGGGAGCAAACAGG